CUCUCCUCUCCCACUUUCGCAGAGGUCAGUAACUAGCAUUAUUUCAUUACCUCAAGAGUGAAUCAUGCCAGCAAACUGCCGGGAAACACAUCCCAUCGGUUUCCGGAGUGACCGAGCAUCCGGGGAAUCCUCUUUCGGGAAGAGAAUUGAUCCUCCUGAGUUUUGGACAAGCAGCCCAUGCUGGUCUGAACACCCUCCGUAGCUACAAAGGUAUGUGAGGAUACAGUUUCCAGCUACGACACUGUUAAAAAGACAUGUACACACAUCUUGCAGAAAACCAGAAAAGCCUUUGAGCUGCAGCUUCCAGGUACAGGUCCAGCUCCUCAGCACCGUGGUGAAAUGACACCUUGCUCAGGUGAGUACAGAAGUGUGGGUAAGCAGGUGAACCACCCAGUAGGUAGCUCGGAGCAAUAUAACAGCCCUCUUGCCAUUGGGAGCCAUGGCACAGGCUUUGGAUUUGCGGCCAGAGCCAAAUUGCAUUGACUCUGGUCUCUGUGAAUCUGGUUAAUGUGGCUGCCAAUCUGGGGCAUGUGCAGCCCCCCAAACCCUGCAUGCCAUGGGGGUCUGGCACAUGGACACCUCGGCUUGGGGCUGCAUUGCAGCUGGGGGGUAAAUAAGGUCCUCAUUCAGCUGUCCUGUUAUUUUUAUUUACCCACAGUAGUAGAUUAAUUAGAUGUCUUCCACCCCCACUCCCCACCCUCCCUGUGCUGGUAGCAGAGGAAAUUCUGCCUUUGUGCUGCUAAUGGACCUCACUGAUCCAGUAAACAUUACAGUACAGACAAAAUGUCUCUUUAAGAGUGCAAUAGAAAUUCAAACUCUCCACCGAGAACAAAGCCAGUGGGACUUUUUGCCUCUCCUGUUUUUAUUGUAUUCUGUAACAUUUGUAAAGUAGAUCACUUUUAUCGAGGGAGUCUAUCUUCUCUCCCAAGCUGUAAUUCCUAGACUUCUUAUAGAAGAUUUCUGCUCACAAAGGAAAUAAAAGAUAGAAAUAUGAUGCUCUCUGACAUUUGAACACACUACUGAGAAUCUGAAUUAAAAGGAACAGACCCAGAAAGUAUCAUUUAUACAGCAAUCAACUUUAAAAAGUCACCAUCUGCUAAGAGUUACCACCCAGUGUAGCUGUGUCUUUAUUGCUAGACGGAGAAUAGGAAAUAACUCAGGGAACUCUCCUGCACCUGCCGGGUUUUUCCUGGCUCCGUGCACACACUGAGCCGCGAUGGCCGGUGUGCCGUGGGGCGCCUAUUGCAACUCUCCUUUUACUCCAGCUCACUACAGAAAAUAAAUCUGAAUACAGGUGCCCUUAGGAGGAAUGAUUUGGGGUUGUUCAAGUUAUAGGUCAGUGACAGAUUUUCAGAAAGUCUAAAGGGAAAAAGAAAUGACCAGAGCUGGACCGAAGGACCUGGCUGGGGUUUAUAUUUAGAAAUAUGAUUUUUUUUUUUCUUGCUUUCUGCUCACCUCCUUACUGUUCCCCUGCCCCAAUGACAUUUCCUGGCUUCUCAGAGCCUUUUCUAGUUUUGUCUUCCUAUUUCAAUGCAAUCGAUCAUGAUAUUACCAAAUUCUUUGCUCUGUGAAACCUGACUAGUGCUCUCCUUGCCAUUUUUUGCCUCGUUUUGGUCUUCCACUGCUUAUUGUCUCCUAGAAAGGUUGUGAACUUUUUGAUACAAAAAUUUGCCAUCAAAUUUUAUGUCUUCCACCAAGACCACUCUGUGUUCAGGUGAUUCUUAGCACAAUUUAGUCCCCUGUGCCACUCAGCCCAGUGUCACUCUCUCUGUCUUGGCAAUCAUGAUGGUUUCCCUCUGACCUCUCCAUGGACAAGAUUCAGUUAUGCCAACACAGUUUUGAGUCUUUGGUCUCUUGGAGUGAACUGGGAACUGAGUUACAUUCACGAGGUAUAUCAGCUGAAAAAGCAUGAAAACACUUGCACAAGUUAUUUCUGCAUUGUCUGCCUUGAGUUUUGUACAACAGCACCAGGCACUGGGAGGCUGUCAUGGCUUUCCCCCUCCACAUUUUCCAUCACUAUGCAACAUUUAUCAUAGUCUGCUUGGGUCAGAAGCAAAGGAAGCAAAAGUGGGGAAAUGAAUAAAGGAAAACACCCGUGUAUUUGCAAGUUUCCUUUGUGCCUGUGCCAUCUCUGAGCCCCAUCACAGCCAGUGCUGAUGAGGGGCAUCAUCCCAUUUUGACCUGAUGCACCACCACAGACCAUGGCAGGCAAUUGUAUCCAUCUCUCCUUUUAGGACUUUUAGGCUUCCUUUCCAAGAUACUGUCCUGUUGCAGAGGCUGAGUAAGGGAUGGUAGAAAGUCUUUGGUGACAUGUUAGUUUGUGCCUGGUGGGGAAAAAUAUCUUUCAGCCUCACUCUUAGUUAUCCAUUCCUGUGUGUCUCUCUAGCAUUGUGCUGGGCUUUGGGAAUGAGAGUGCCUGCAGUCCUUGUUGACUUACUUUCAGAGUUUUAAUUGCAUUUAAUCACAAUGGUCUAAUUAAAGUUUGGAGGCUUUAUUUGAGGGCAAUAAAUUAGUUAAACUAACUGUGGCUUGUUGUAUACAGAGAUACCCUUCAUUUGGCAGAAGGGCAGCCAACACAUGCGCUGAUAACAAACAUUUCCAGCCUGACCCAUGGGUCUGGAGUGCCCAUAUUCCUGGGGCUUGAUGGUUGGUAUUGCAAGAUGUGGGGCUGUGUCUUCUGGUGGCUUUCUAUCAUCAUCUUUAUCAUCACUCAUAUAAUCUCAUUUAUUGCAAAAUGAAAUAGCUCUUUAAAAGAUGGGAAUCCGGUAUGAAGCACAUAAACCUGCACAGGGGCAGUUGCCAAGCGCCAAAAUUGUCUGUUCAAGGUUAACUUUUACAUUUUUAAGCGCCUUUUAGAUGGGGAUAAACCUCAGGAAGUUUCAGAAAGCAGGGUGACACUGUCUUGAAGGACAUCAAAUAACAUCUUUAUUUUUCCCUGUAAAUCAGCUGCCUUGGGAACCCACACUACCAUUUUGUUGGUGACCUGCUUUGGAUUUAUCACUAGGAAAAAUCGACAUGCACUGAAUUGUCUAUAAUCCUUCCUCAGAUGGAGGGGAUUGAACGAGCUGGGAUUUUGUUUCUUUGUUGAGAUGAAAUGUAAUUACUUUAUGGGCUUUGCAUGGUGUGUUAAAUUCUGCCAAUACUAAAGUGUGAUACAAGCUAUAGAACUGUGUCUGUUGCUGAAGAUUUAUGGAAUAAAAGGUAUAAUUUCA